rnacentral:rRNA from 1 species
UGGGGAAUCUUCCGCAAUGGACGAAAGUCUGACGGAGCAACGCCGCGUGAGUGAUGACGGCCUUCGGGUUGUAAAGCUCUGUUAAUCGGGACGAAUGGUUCUUGUGCAAAUAGUGCGAGGAUUUGACGGUACCGGAAUAGAAAGCCACGGCUAACUACGUGCCAGCAGCCGCGGUAAUACGUAGGUGGCAAGCGUUGUCCGGGAUUAUUGGGCGUAAAGCGCGCGCAGGCGGAUUGGUCAGUCUGUCUUAAAAGUUCGGGGCUUAACCCCGUGAUGGGAUGGAGACUGCCAAUCUAGAGUAUCGGAGAGGAAAGUGGAAUUCCUAGUGUAGCGGUGAAAUGCGUAGAUAUUAGGAAGAACACCAGUGGCGAAGGCGACUUUCUGGACGAAAACUGACGCUGAGGCGCGAAAGCCAGGGGAGCGAACGGG